UACGUAGGGUGCAAGCGUUAAUCGGAAUUACUGGGCGUAAAGCGUGCGUAGGUGGUUUGUUAAGUCUGAUGUGAAAGCCCUGGGCUCAACCUGGGAACUGCAUUGGAAACUGGCUUACUAGAGUGCGGUAGAGGGGUGUGGAAUUCCGGGUGUAGCGGUGGAAUGCGUAGAGAUCCGGAGGAAGACCGGUGGCGAAGGCGGCCUGCUGGGCAGUUACUGACACUGAGGCGCGACAGCGUGGGGAGCAAACAGG
rnacentral:rRNA from 1 species